UAAGUAAAGUGUGAUGCUUGCUACCUGACCUGAGUACCAUGUGAACUGUGAAAAUAAGGGCUCCCAUGAGCGGGUCAUGAUCUCAUAUAUAAGGCUGACCAUGCGUGCGUGUGUGUUCACGCAUGUACGCUUUCAAGCGAAGGGCCCCAGUGACAUCCCCCUUGGUGCCCCCAGUCACCAUAGUAAGAGGGUCGCCAA